rnacentral:rRNA from 1 species
UACGUAGACAGCAAGCGUUGUUCGGAGUUACUGGGCGUAAAGGGUGUGUAGGCGGUUCUUUAAGUUUGGUGUGAAAUCUCCCGGCUCAACUGGGAGGGUGCGCCGAAUACUGAGGGACUAGAGUACGGGAGAGGAAAGUGGAAUUCCUGGUGUAGCGGUGAAAUGCGUAGAUAUCAGGAGGAACACCGGUGGUGUAGACGGCUUUCUGGACCGACACUGACGCUGAGACACGAAAGCGUGGGUAGCAAACAGG